GUAUAAACCUGUAUCUAACCAAAGCGUGUUAGAGAUCGUUUGACAAUGAAACGGUUUGGACUUGCAUUUUUUGUCACGGCGAUGCUUUUGAGCGAACAUGCCGAGGCGGCGUCUGUCACCUGCUACGUGUGUUCCGGAAGUUCGGCGUGUAAUCUGAAUCUGUCUCUCAAUACAGAGUCUGGAUGCACUGUCUGUAAAAAGACGGAGAUAAAUGGCGCGGUUACCCGAUCUUGCGAUACACCACUCCUCACCAUUUACAGACAGACAGACAGACAGACAGGUGGAGUGACGGAGUGCUACUGUAACACCGACUAUUGCAACAGCGGCAGUCGUAUGACAUUUUCUGUGUCAACACUCGUGCUGUCGUUGGUAGCCGCUUAUUUUGUUCUUGAUCGGAAGUAACAGCGAGUCGUGGGGAAGAUGAGCUUUAUUAAUAAAUAUAUGUUUUGGUUUGAAUGACAUUUAUUUCAAAUGAGUGAAUGUGUUUUUUUCACAUAUUAAAUAGACACUGUGUGUUAUUGCUCAUCAUUUUAAAGCCCAAUAUAAUAUGGAUGAUUUGAUGAUUUGAGUUAAUACGAAACCUCGCCUGAAUAAAGUUCGUUUCAUAAGUUAUGUAACUUUUUGUUUAUAUAUGAUGCAUUAUUUUUUUUGAAGGUGACCUCAAUAUGGUAGUACUUAUAAAUGUUAACAAAUAAAUAUUAAAGAAAAUAUAAUACAAUUUUAAAAUAUUUUUUUUUACAAUGAACGCCAGUUUGUACAGACAUAUAACUAAAAUGAAUAGUGCUUCCAAGUGCCAUUGUAGUAAAAAAACUAAUAUUAAGCAGAAAAGAGGUUACGUAUAACUAUACGAAAUAGGCGUAUAGAAACUCCACUUUGACCAUAUAACCAAGUAAUAGUGACGUAUGUAUUAUUAAUGACAAAAUUAGUAGCCGUGAGAUUAGAACAAUAAAGAAAUAUAAAAAACCA